rnacentral:rRNA from 1 species
UACGUAUGGAGCAAGCGUUAUCCGGAUUUACUGGGUGUAAAGGGAGUGUAGGUGGCCAAGCAAGUCAGAAGUGAAAGCCCGGGGCUCAACCCCGGGACUGCUUUUGAAACUGCAGGGCUAGAGUGCAGGAGGGGCAAGUGGAAUUCCUAGUGUAGCGGUGAAAUGCGUAGAUAUUAGGAGGAACACCAGUGGCGAAGGCGGCUUGCUGGACUGUAACUGACACUGAGGCUCGAAAGCGUGGGGAGCAAACAGG